GGAAGGCACAGUUGUAACAGCUGUUUUGGUCACCUCCAAACUCUUUCCACAAAUCCAAGCCACACCACCUAUGGUGGCGCCAACAGCUUCCUUAGUGACACUGAAGAUAACCCCAGUCACACGGGACAACAUGCCUGACUGCUGCGGAUGGUCCUUCACGGCACCUUCUGGCGGUUCAUCACUAAGGCCCCCAAAAUCGAUUAUCAGAGAAGAGAAUGCACAGACUUAUGGAAGAAAUGGAAUCUUUUAGAGCGCAGCUGUUUGCACCUGGUUACGUUUAACUGGAACACACAUGAGAUUCUCCAGAGAAUAAUCUUCUGUUUAUCUGGCUGGCUGCCUUCGUAAUAGAAGCAGAACAAGGAAAGACUUUUGAGAGACUCAGAUGGGCUGUGUACACUUUCAUUUUGACAAGUCAAUCACCUCUAUCUUUAAGAAGGGCCUGAUAUCUUGGUGUCCAGAAAUUCAACUUUUUUGAAAAGUAAAGCUGCAAUUUUCUUCUCAGAGUGAUAUACUUGCUGUAAGGAGUGGGGAAAAGAAUCUGGGAGUCUAUUUCCUGUACAUAAAGACUUGAAACAAAUUGUGUUUUCAGGCUUGACCCCAUUUCCUUAGAAGUGUCCUAUAUUCUAAUUCCUUUCUUGAAAUUUAUUGUAAUAUGCUGCUUCUUAUAGUUCUUUCCUGCAUGAGGGUUUCAGUAUUCUCCAACCUGCUUAUUUACUAUCCAGCUUCCAAAAUUUUAUUUAUAUUUCCAUGUGCUAUUGGUUUCUGCCUCAUUCUCAUUGUCAUUGUUGGUUUAUGCAUUUCUUACUGUUUAUUUUCAUUUUAGUAGGGUUUCAGAUGGGGGCAAAGAUAAAUGACUGUGUGUUCAGGUUAUCGUGUUUAAUCACAAAUUUUAUGAAUUUAUUUAACAAUGUUCAGACAUUUAUGUGGGUCACUCUAUAGGUUCAAUAAAUUUAUUCCUAAUA